AUUGAACGCUGGCGGCAAGCCUAACACAUGCAAGUCGAACGAGUGGCGGACGGGUGAGUAAUGUCUGGGAAACUGCCUGAUGGAGGGGGAUAACUACUGGAAACGGUAGCUAAUACCGCAUACCAUCGGAUGUGCCCAGAUUGGAUUAGCUAGUCGGUGUGGUAAAGGCUCACCUAGGCGACGAUCCCUAGCUGGUCUGAGAGGAUGACCAGCCACACUGGAACUGAGACACGGUCCAGACUCCUACGGGAGGCAGCAGUGGGGAAUAUUGCACAAUGGACGCAAGCCUGAUGCAGCCACGCCGCGUGUGUGAAGAAGGCCUUCGGGUUGUAAAGUACUUUCAGCGGGGAAGCGUUACCCGCAGAAAAAGCACCGGCUAACUCCGUGCCAGCAGCCGCGGUAAUAC
rnacentral:rRNA from 1 species